UUGACCACUCUCUUGUAAAUAAAGCUGCAUUUGGAUCCUCAACUCCGUCGUCACGACUCCUUACGUUACAAAACUCAUCUACAUCUUGGAUGGCCUGAGGAAGACCAGACUGCAAGUUUAACAUGGAGAGCGGUGCCACUCCUAACCCCAAAACUGAACCCUUUGCCAUGCUGGUAUACCUUCUUCGUCAAUUGCUGCAACCGGCUACUUCCUCAUCGGCUUCAUCGCUGGAUGGUGUCGUGAAUCCCAUGGCCCAACCAGCGACGUUCUCUGGCACGGCGCAGGAUUGCAGAGGGUUUAUCUUGCAAUGCUCGCUGUAUUUUGAGAUGCAGCCUCACCAGUUCCCCUCUGAACGCUCUAAAAUUGCCUAUAUUAUAUCUCUCUUGUCUGGCAGGGAUGAAUGAGCUGUUCCGGGAGUUCCUCCAUCGCUUUGUGAUCAUUUACAUCGAUGACAUCUUGAUCUACUCCUGGACCCUGGCCGACCAUCGCUAACAUGUUACACAGGUCGAUUCAUUGCCAAUUAUAGCAACAUAUCAUCACCCCUUAUCCUGGAACCCUACAGCUGAUGCCUUCCAACAACUUAAGAAUGCCUUCUGCACUGCCCCUACCUUGCUCCGUCCAGAUCCUGAUCUCCCUUUCAUUGUCGAGGUGGACGCCUCCACUACUGGUGUAGGGGCAGCUCUUUCCCAACAGUAGGGGAAUCCUCCUAAGCUCCAUCUUUGUGCCUUUUAUUCUAAAAAGCUGUCCCUGGCGGAGCAGAAUCAAGUUGGCACUCGAAGAGUGGAGACACUGUCUGGAGGGAGCCAAAUAUCCAUUUGAAGUCAUCACUGUUCACUGAAAUCUAGAGUCUCUCCAUGAAGCUCGCCAUCUCAAUCCAAGGCAAGCACGCUGGGCACUCUUCUUCACACGGUUUGAUUUCAAAUUCAAAUUCACGGUUACAUGCACUAGAGGUCAAUUCCAUUCCUUUAGAACACAUACUCCCUCCAGCCAUAAUUGUCAGUUCCAUUCAGUGGUCUUUGGAUGACCAAAUAACCGAAGCCCGCCGAACCGAACCUGCUCCGCCGGGAGGUCCUGAGGGUAAAUCCUUUGUGUCUUUCACCUUGUGGAUCACCCUCAUGGACACAGUGCACUCCUCUCCAGGCUCUGGACACCCAGGCAGCCAACAGACUCUCUCACUCCUCCCUCAGCACUACUGGUGGCCAGGUAUGACCCAGGAUGUUGCUGGGUUUGUGAGAGACUGUCCCACUGAAUCAAGGCCUGCCGUUUGAUUCCCCUCAAGGGUCUCCCUUCUGCCAAGGAAACGGCAGAAGUGUUGUUCCAACAUGUGUUCCGUAACUUUAGUAUCGCUGAGGACAUCAUAUCAGAUCGGGGGCCACAAUCUCUUGGUUUUGGAAAUGUGAGAAGGCUACUGCGUGAAGAUCUGCCACCCCUGUAUACCACCCAAGCAAAAGGGUCUGGUGCCUCGGACAUGCCUGCCCCUCCCAUUGAGUCUGACGAAGGGCCUAUCUACAAGUUCAACACCAUUAUGGACCCCCGGAGAUGGGGUGGACAGUUGGAAUAUCUAGUGGACUGGGAGGGGUAUGGACCAGAGGAACGCUGUUAUCCUUUGUGGAAUAUCAUCAUGUCAGUCUUCUUCCUCUGUGGACCACUUCCAGCACCUACCUGCAAGAGAUAAGCACACUAACCGUUUCAUAUAAAUUAUUUUCCUUUAAGAAAAAUCUUACUGACCCUAAACUGUUGAAAGGUAGUCUAAAUAAUAUUCUUAAACUAAUACAACAAUCUGUAAAUAUGGAAAUUAAAUGGUAUUUUGUGUAAGCAUCUAUAGCUUACACAAGUAGCACAGGGUGUAAAACAUGGUAAAGUGCACAGUUUAGCU